CGGCCAGGGAUGAAGCUUCUGAAAUACCAUCUUUCGGGACUGAAAGGCUAUGAAGCCUUGAUGCCAUUCUGCAAUUCUGAGGCCA